UACGAAGGGGGCUAGCGUUGUUCGGAUUUACUGGGCGUAAAGCGCACGUAGGCGGAUUGGUCAGUUAGAGGUGAAAUCCCGAAGCUCAACUUCGGAACUGCCUUUAAUACUGCCAGUCUCGAGUCCGGAAGAGGUAAGUGGAACUCCUAGUGUAGAGGUGGAAUUCGUAGAUAUUAGGAAGAACACCAGUGGCGAAGGCGGCUCACUGGUCCGGUACUGACGCUGAGGUGCGAAAGCGUGGGGAGCAAACAGG
rnacentral:rRNA from 1 species